rnacentral:misc_RNA from 1 species
GGAAAAGGCUAACUUUAACAUUCACCCUUUACAACAGGUUAAUCACCCCAUUCAAUUCUUGCAUCAAACUAUCCUCCAAUUUAAGCUAAAUGAGUACAGAAAUUAUUAAUAAAAGGAAAAACCAGUUACCAUGAUCAUUUCAAAACAUUAAAAAGAAUCAAACUUGAGCUCCAAAUGAAAUAAUUACUAAACAAUAAACAGAAAAUUCAAGUAUAAAAAAGUCAUAAAGUCACCUGAAGCAGACAAGAAUUUCAAUC